rnacentral:tmRNA from 1 species
GGGGUCGUUACGGAUUCGACAGGCAUUAUGAGGUACAUUCUGCAACUCAUCGGCAGAUGUAAAAAUGCCAGUUAAAUAUAACUGCAAAAAAUACAAAUUCUUACGCUGUAGCUGCCUAAAAACCAGCUCGCGUGAUCUCUACAGGAUUGCUUGUGUUUUGCUAGAGGUUUCAUUGAUUAGCAAGCUACGUUUGAUUAUUGCCUAGCUAGUCAAAAAGAGAUUUAUAGGCUCGCUUAAUCUAGGUUUGAGUUAUGUAUCGAGCUUAAGUUAAAUCAAAGACAUAACCUAUGGUUGUAGACGAAUGUAUUGGCAGGUGUUUGGACGUGGGUUCGACUCCCACCGGCUCCA